CCAGUUUGCAUGACUCCAGGGUAAUGUGGGAUUAAACGGAAGGAGACCUGAGCUUGCAGUCAGGUCAUAUCCUGGAAGGAGCUUGUUUCCUGUCAUGAUCAGCUGCUGUCAGGGAAGAGCAACAGUUUGAAGAGAAACUUGCUAGUGAACUCUUUUGCGAUUGGCAUCGUCUCACACGUGUGAGCGCCAGUGCUCUCCUCCUCUUAAUGAGAGUGGAUGCUGAUGGCCGUUAUCGAGUCCUUCCGUUUGCCUCCCCAUGGCGCGCUCUUCACAGGGGGCCGCAGGAGUUCAGCGCUCAGCCCCUCAAGUAUCUAUCAGCUCUGCGUCACCGCCAAAUCACCAUGGCGAUAGCGGCGCUCAGGGCCCUGAAUGAGGCACCCGCUCUGUUUGAGACGUCUGCAGAGCCGCGAGGAUGCAGCGACGAGGCCGUGGAACAAUACAGGGAAAUUAGACAUCAAAAAAAGCUUUAAUUUAAAAUUCUGAUGCAUUCUUCUCAAUAACGAGAGUGCUGUUUUUGAUGCUGUUGAGACCAUAUAUUGCUCUGCUCUGAAGGACAUCUGAUUGUGGUGAGGUCUUCAAUUAGGACACGCCUCUCUCAACCUGCUGAUGUACAACUGGAAAUUAAGUGUUUUGUGUUUUUCCUCCUUUUUGCCAUGGAAACACUUCAGCAGCUAUUGAUUUUGAGAUUUUUUCCUAUCUGUUGAGAACAUUCAUAUAACAUUCAUAAUAGUGCUUUCCAGGAAUAUGCUACACUUUGGUGCAUUUUUAAUUAUUAAAGGGGUCAUCGUAUGACCAUUCUCCACAAGUUGAUAUGAUUUUUUAGGGUCUUAAUGAAAAGUCUAUAACGUACUUUGAUUAAAAUUUCUCAGUGGUAGUGUAAAAAACACCUUUCUUUUCCCUGUCAAAAUCAGCUCUGUUUUCAGCAAGCCGUUUUUUAGUCCAUGUCGCUUUAAAUGAUAAUGAGCUCUGCUGACCCCGCCCCACUCUUCCAUGUAGUGAAGAACUGAUUUACUUUAGCCAUGAAACUGGCUAACUAGCACAUUAUUAGGAAAGGCGAUUUGCAAAGAUUCAUAAAAACCCUUAUAAUCACUUCUUCUGUAGGUAAGGCUGGAUCACAAAUGAUUUGUGCGAACAUAGACGCAUUUAGGCAGAUCGGAGAUCGGCCCAUUCUCCUUCAAAAACUAAAGUAACAUAAAUCGUCAGGAGUAAAUGACGACUGCUGUGUUCAUUAUUAUAUCCAACAACAAAACGCCUCAAUCACUUAAUCGGAAACAUCUUGUCCUCCCCUGCACCGCAGUCAACACAAUGGCGGACAGCUCUGUUCACUCAGGGCGGGUCUAAGUUAAGACGGCCUUGUCAAUCAACUAUCGUGGGAGGGGCCUGUGCAGAACUACGUCAUUCUGACAGGGCUCUCAGAACAGCCUGAUUUGAGAAAGGGGAUCCCAUACUUUCAGUUCUUUGUUCAUUAGGGACCAGGUAUCGCUUUUCAAUUCACUCAGCCAACAGUGAACGCAGUUCUGAACUUACUCAGAG